GGCCCUCUCUGAUGAGACGGAACUUCUUUCCUCCUCUGGCUGUGAAGGCGUGUUGCCGUCACAUUGUGAGAAGGCAGCAGAGAGGGCCAUGUAGUAAGGAACUGAGGAGCUCCAAAGAAGGAAAGCCGCAGCCAAGAAAAAACUGUGACCUCAGCCUCACCACCACAGGGAGAUGAGGUUUUUCCAAGAACUGCAGAGAUCUUGGAAGAUAAUGUUUACACUGCUGAUCUUCUAGGUGAAGACGCCAUCUGACCAACACCUGGGGUUGCAACCUCCUGAGAUCCUGGGCAGAGAACCCAGAGAGACAUGUCCAGAUUCCUGAUCCAAGAAAUGUGAGAUGGCAACGCUUCCAUCCAUUGCAAGUUAUUGAUAAUGGAAAUACAGCACUGGACCCAAGCAGAAUUGAAUUUAUCUUGGUUCUCAUUUCAGGGCUUUUUGCCUGGGAAAUUGAGAGGCAUAAAGAGUGGUUGAUAAGGAUUUAAGCUUUUAAAAAAAAAAAAAAAAAAAAAAAAAACUGAGUUGCAUACAUCUAGAAUUCAUCUUCAUUAAGACUUUUGAGAAAAGAGAGCUUGAGUGGAGAGAAGCAGAAAUGGACAACCCUAGGAAGGAAACAAUCUAUGAUUGUCCUGGGUCCCAAGAAUGUCCGCGUUGCAGAGCAAAGCCCCUCCAGCUGCCUGAAAUCAACAUGUAGCACAACAAGAAAAAUGAGUUCUGGAGUUCAUUGCUUCCACAACAAAUAGCCUUGAGUCCAUUGAACAGUAUCCUAAACAGCAGACAAGAGUCUGAGUACACUCUCUUAUCAUAGUACUAGCUAGCAGAAGAAUUCAAGGAAAUCAUGGUAUCACUUUGAAUUAAGAGCCUGGCUCUUCGCUUAUAUUCUUGGCAACCUGUGGGGGAAAGGAAGGCCUACUGGUACCUGAAGCUGAAACUUUUGCAUCAGAAGAGGACUUGAUACAAUUUUAAUAUGAAAUAUCUUAGGUGUGCACUAAGAUGGCCAUCUGCUACAUAUGCUUUGUGUCUACAGAUUUCUGCAGUCCAGUGGACUAAGCCCGCUCCAUCAGCUGCAAUAAUUAGUCCUGACUUCUAAGACCAAUAUGAGCUAAUGCCCAUGUCCUGUUCCCCUGCUCCCCAAGAGGGUGAUUAGCAUUGAUUUUUGCAAAUAAAACAUUCAGUAAUAACUUCACUGAUUCAUCGAUGUGCUAGGCAAUCUGUUAAGCAGCUUACAUAGAUAAUCACAUUUAUUCCUUUCAACAUAGUAUGAAAGCAUUGUUAAUCUUUAUUUAUCCACCUUAGGAACUUGGAAGUUAGGUUAAAAACCAUCCCCAAGUCGUACAGCUGGUAGGUGGCAGAGCCAGAAGGACAGUGUAGGUCUGCUUGAAGUCAAUGCCAUUGCUUUAUAGAGCCCUCAUUAAUCACCUCUCACCUGGAUUGUUGGAACAAUUGUCUGUCUCUGCCUCUUGUCUGGUUCCCUUCUUUUCACCCUGUUGUUCCCUUCUUUAACCCUCUCGCAUUCUAGGUAGAGUCAUGAAUAAGUAAUGCAAGUCUGAUCUUGGAAAUUCUUUUAAAACUCUACUGAUUCCCAGUGCUUAUGUAAAAUUUAAACUCCUCGUUGUGGCAUAUAAAGACUUCAAGAACAAGGUCCCAGACUACUUUUUUGCAUAAUCUACGACCACAUCUCUAUUUUUCUACUCUUUGCUCUUCUAAUACUAAACUACUUUUGCUCUACUGAUGCUACUGAUAGUUACCUUGCUAUGUGCAGACUCUUCUAUACACAGUACCCUCCAGGGAAGACUGAUGCACAUUUUCAUCUAAAUUAUCACUUGGUAAGACAAUGUAGGUACAACCUGCUCCAUGGGGACUUUUACAAUAUUUCAGUCUAGAUUAGACAUUCCUAUUCUCUCAUAGUGUGUUAUGUAGCCCAUUAUUGUAUGGAAACAUGGUACUUUAAGUACACGAGCCCUGGAGUAAAAAGUCGGGUAUUUGAAUAUCAACUCCACAACUCUCUAAAUAUGCUUAGACAAAUUAUUUAACCCUUCAAAAUGUCAGUCUCAGAGUUGGUAAAAAUAAUAUAAACAUAUAACUUUCUUGGACAGAUUUUUCUUUAUCAUGGUUUGUUUUAAAAUUAGUAUAGUUAGAGUUCAGUAUUUAUGUUCUUUUUUUCACUCAGUACAUUAUAGAAUUACAUAAUUUCUGACUCCUUAACAUCUAGACUCCCAAUUAUUUUGGGAGUGCCUUAUAGGGUAGGCUCUAAGUAAAUAUCUUCUAAUUGAAUGAAUAGAUGAUAAAGAAUUGAAGAUACCAUUUAAAAUGCUGAAACUCAGAGGGAUUAGCAUGCAUUCAGGAGUCCUCAGGAUACCAAAAAAAAAAAAAAAAGGCAUCAAAUAUGCAGUUCUGUAUUUUGGAUAAUUUUACCCCAUUCUACUAUGGAAACUGUAUGAAAGAACGAAAAAAAUUUAGGAAGGCUGAGAUAAAAAAGGACUCCUCCUUAAUUGUACCAAAAUGCUCAGUGAAGUAAGAGAUCUGUUCUCACUGAUAUUGAGGAGGAAAAAUUGGAAGCGUAUGGAUUGAAGAGAUUUGGAACUUUUCUGAGAGAAAUAAGCCAAGAAGUCAAUGAGGGAGAAAUAUCGGGCAUGCGGAUGUGGUCAGCGCCAGGAUGCAGCUGGUUGGUAUAAACAUUGAGAAGGCCAGAACUGCCUGACUAUCAUUCUUUUCUCCAGUAUGAAUGCAAGCAUAUAUAGAAGGUGGCCCUUAUGGUGGAGCCCAUGGAGAAGGUCAAGGGCAACGCAAAGAUUAAAUAGGCAGAGUAUAGAAUUUCACUAUAACUUUGUGCAGUGGAUCAAUUAGGUCCAAAAAGUUAGCAUAUUUUUUCAUAAAUAUUUGCUGAAAAACCUUUAACUAUAUGAGUUACCAGAUGUUAUUUCUGGGUCAUCUAUUUCAUGGAUAAAGCCUAAAAGAAGUAAUAGUAUUUUCAAAGUAUAGUACUCCUUCAGGGGAGAAAGUAUUUUGUAUUUGCUACCAAACACCUAGAUUUCACAUACUAAAGUAUGCUCAUAACAACAUUAAUAGAAAUGAGUAAAUGUCUCUCAAAUAAUGUGAAACAGCUUUCCCUUGUUUGUUUAGAGGAAUAAAUUUAACAGUAGAGAAGAGUUCAU